rnacentral:sRNA from 1 species
AAUUAACCUUUUCCUGACAUGACUACUUCUAGUGAUUAUUGCACACCCAUGUACUCAAUCCGACAAGAACCCUAUGAAAUUCCUUGGUGUUACUCAGUUUUCGCCUACACAUGCCAGAAAGGCAUUUCCUUGUUUUGAUGAGCCAAUCUACAAGGCUACUUUCAAAAUCAGCAUCAAGCAUCAAGCAACCUAUUUAUCUUUAUCUAAUAUGCCAGUGGAAACUUCCGUGUUUGAGGAAGACGGAUGGGUUACGGAUCAUUUUUCACAGACCCCUCUCAUGUCCACAUAUUAUUUAGCCUGGGCAAUUUGCAACUUCACAUACAGAGAAACUACCACCAAGAGUGGGGUUGUAAUAAACGUGGACCCAAAUGCAAUGAGAAGAAACCUAGUAUAUAUCACUAGAGAUGUUAGGAAUUAAAACAAAAGGGGCACUGUUCUAGGCACUGGGGACACAGCAGUAAAUAAAACGGGCAAAGCUUCAUGAAGCUUACAUUCUUUCUAUUCCAGUGGGUUGCUCUUUGUGGCCAGGAUAGAAAAAUAAAAAAAAAAAGAAGAUGGGGUUUUUUGAUACU